rnacentral:rRNA from 1 species
CUAGAUACAAGCGAGCGGCGGACGGGUGAGUAACACGUGGGUAACCUGCCCAAGAGACUGGGAUAACACCUGGAAACAGAUGCUAAUACCGGAUAACAACACUAGACGCAUGUCUAGAGUUUGAAAGAUGGUUCUGCUAUCACUCUUGGAUGGACCUGCGGUGCAUUAGCUAGUUGGUAAGGUAACGGCUUACCAAGGCAAUGAUGCAUAGCCGAGUUGAGAGACUGAUCGGCCACAUUGGGACUGAGACACGGCCCAAACUCCUACGGGAGGCAGCAGUAGGGAAUCUUCCACAAUGGACGAAAGUCUGAUGGAGCAACGCCGCGUGAGUGAAGAAGGGUUUCGGCUCGUAAAGCUCUGUUGGUAGUGAAGAAAGAUAGAGGUAGUAACUGGCCUUUAUUUGACGGUAAUUACUUAGAAAGUCACGGCUAACUACGUGCCAGCAGCCGCGGUAAUACGUAGGUGGCAAGCGUUGUCCGGAUUUAUUGGGCGUAAAGCGAGUGCAGGCGGUUCAAUAAGUCUGAUGUGAAAGCCUUCGGCUCAACCGGAGAAUUGCAUCAGAAACUGUUGAACUUGAGUGCAGAAGAGGAGAGUGGAACUCCAUGUGUAGCGGUGGAAUGCGUAGAUAUAUGGAAGAACACCAGUGGCGAAGGCGGCUCUCUGGUCUGCAACUGACGCUGAGGCUCGAAAGCAUGGGUAGCGAACAGGAUUAGAUACCCUGGUAGUCCAUGCCGUAAACGAUGAGUGCUAAGUGUUGGGAGGUUUCCGCCUCUCAGUGCUGCAGCUAACGCAUUAAGCACUCCCCCUGGGGGAGUACGAC